GGGCNGNCGAGUGCUAUACAUGCAGUCGAGCGAUCUGAUGGGAGCUUGCUCCCUGAGAUUAGCGGCGGACGGGUGAGUAACACGUGGGCAACCUGCCUAUAAGACUGGGAUAACUUCGGGAAACCGGAGCUAAUACCGGAUACGUUCUUUUCUCGCAUGAGAGAAGAUGGAAAGACGGUUUACGCUGUCACUUAUAGAUGGGCCCGCGGCGCAUUAGCUAGUUGGUGAGGUAAUGGCUCACCAAGGCGACGAUGCGUAGCCGACCUGAGAGGGUGAUCGGCCACACUGGGACUGAGACACGGCCCAGACUCCUACGGGAGGCAGCAGUAGGGAAUCUUCCGCAAUGGACGAAAGUCUGACGGAGCAACGCCGCGUGAACGAAGAAGGCCUUCGGGUCGUAAAGUUCUGUUGUUAGGGAAGAACAAGUACCAGAGUAACUGCUGGUACCUUGACGGUACCUAACCAGAAAGCCACGGCUAACUACGUGCCAGCAGCCGCGGUAAUACGUAGGUGGCAAGCGUUGUCCGGAAUUAUUGGGCGUAAAGCGCGCGCAGGUGGUUCCUUAAGUCUGAUGUGAAAGCCCACGGCUCAACCGUGGAGGGUCAUUGGAAACUGGGGAACUUGAGUGCAGAAGAGGAAAGUGGAAUUCCAAGUGUAGCGGUGAAAUGCGUAGAGAUUUGGAGGAACACCAGUGGCGAAGGCGACUUUCUGGUCUGUAACUGACACUGAGGCGCGAAAGCGUGGGGAGCAAACAGGAUUAGAUACCCUGGUAGUCCACGCCGUAAACGAUGAGUGCUAAGUGUUAGAGGGUUUCCGCCCUUUAGUGCUGCAGCUAACGCAUUAAGCACUCCGCCUGGGGGAGUACGGGCGCAAGGCUGAAACUCAAAGGAAUUGACGGGGGCCCGCACAAGCGGGUGGAGCAUGUGGGUUUAUUUCGAAGCAACGCGAAGAACCUUACCAGGUCUUGACAUCCUCUGACACCCUAGAGAUAGGGCUUUCCCCUUCGGGGGACAGAGUGACAGGUGUGCAUGGUUGUCGUCAGCUUCGUGUCGUGAGAUGUUGGGUUAGUCCGCAACGAGCGCAACCCUUGAUCUUAGUUGCCAGCAUUCAGUGGUCACUCUUAAGGUGACUGCCGGUGACAAACCCGGAGAAAGUGGGGANGAC
rnacentral:rRNA from 1 species